CCGCCGGGCUGAGCCGCGGCCGGACCCCGGGCGACCCUGGACCUUCUGCCAGCGAGCCACGCGCGAGGGACAAGCCUCAGCCCCCUCAAGGCGUCUGUCUCUCCAGGUUAGCCCCGGAGCCAGCAUGCACCUCUAGACUUCAAGAGACAAAGAUGCCAAGAUGCUGGAGCAACUGCAGCCAUUUUGUGACCUGAGGAUAAUGAUGUAUGUGUCCCUACACCUGAGCAGUGGAAAGUGGCUGGGAGAAAUGGAGCCAUACCAGAAGUUUCCCAGAGAACUCUGUGACUCAAAUCCCCAGUGGAGCUGCCUCACUGCUAGAAAGUUGACAAACUUCCUUGGUGAAUCCACUUUCUCCGUCUCCUAGAUGACGAUUUCAUACCUUCUCCUGUUUCCCUGACCCCCCUUUUCCUGCCUCACUUGUUACUCCCUGAAAACACAGAGCAGUUGGAAGAGGAGCCCCAGACCCAGGUGCUUCUGUGCCUUCCUGCCCCCGCCGGCGCGGGCCGCCUGCUCAGACUGGAACUGGCCCC